CAUGGCAAGCACGUGGUUAGAUCAAGAUCUGUCAAACGUCGCCAACUGUGACGAUUUCUUCCCCUUUCAUUUCGUCAACAUUUAUGAUUUGUAAAUCUUGAUGGAUGGAUGACGCAUGAAGUUGGCUCAAGCGGGUGAAGAAUGAUUGUCAAGAGAAGAGGUUCAUUGUUCUCAAGUGAAGGCUUUCAAGUACUGGAACUAACUGAUUUGUUACAACCUGAAUGAACCAUCGAUUGAUGUGGAGACUACCAAAAUGAACACAUCCCCAUCCGAGAAAGAUUUGGUUAAGGAUGUGAAUGCUAAAAUCCUUUCCUCCCCGGAUGAGAACGACUCGGCCAAGCUUUACUGUUCGGAGUCUAUGGGGUCGUCGAAUGAGAGUCUUCAGUGUUCAGAGUCCAUGUUCAGCUCCGCCUCGGAUGACGACUUGGCACGUAUCACCCUGCUUCAUCAGGAAGCUUCAAAUAGAGGGUUUCCAUCCAGUGCCCCAGAUUCAACUGGCUACCGACAAAAACUUUCUAUGGAUGCUGGAGUCCAAGAGAGCAACGGAGAGGCGUUCUUCCAGUCGGCUCUUUGGGAACACCAGUAUUCGGAUCCAUCUAGCUUCAACAUGGCUGACAAGUUUGCCGAUUUUUCUGGACAGCAUUAUAAAGCAGGAAUUCAAGAUAUCUAUGAUCUUUCUGCAAUGAGUUCAAGGGGAGGCAUGGGCCGUGGGUCUAGCGACUAUGGACAUGUAACAGUCCAGCCCGUUAGCAGUGCAGGCCUGGUACCAUACUGGAACCGGGAAAGUAUGGUUCGGCACCAUCCAAUGUCUUUUGGGUCUCAUGGUAGUACCACUGAACUGUUUGCAAAUUCCUAUGGUAGCUAUGAAAAUAUAAACUUGAGGCAGAAGGGUACUUUUGGGUGCGAUCAGAAUUCCGAGUUCGGUGCUGUGUCCUAUGAUUCCAGAGAUGGAAAUAGAAAAGGUAACAGCUCGCAUGUUUACUGUGAAGAGAGCAGCAGGUUUGGGCAGUUUCAUUCCUCAUCCACUGUUAUUGAGUCCCAAAACCAAAUACCUGCAUUAUCCACCUGGUACUGUAAGCCCAUAGCUGCAUCACCUUCUGUAGAUAGACAAACUGAUUUGGA